CCUGAGAAACCCAAAAGAUCGAAUGGGGAGAUUCAUCGUCAGCGGCUCUGGCUUCCGUGCGGCACGCGAUGACGGGGACUUCGGUCUCGCGUCACGCUGUCGCUGCGGUAUGUCCGGAGUCGUCGGCGUGCACUUCUCCCCUAGUAGGACGUCGCGACCCGUUGGGUGUCGGACCGAUGGCCGGUCGGUCGUCUGUUGCGUUCGCGCUUCAGACCGAUCCGGUCGAAAGUCCGGCUGCCCGGCGGUAUUGAACGAUUUAUCUGGUAUCAAGCCGCAUCGAAUGCGUUUCUGGCUCGUCGGCAGGCUCGUCUCGCUCGGAUUUACGGACCUAGUGCCGUUGCCGGGCGCUUGGCGCGGCUGUUAGUCGACGAUGUCCUCGRACUGGCUCUUACCGGUCGGCGACGCUACUGCUUUGGGUACUUUC
rnacentral:rRNA from 1 species